GGACGGUGCCGAGACAUGGUGGCUGUGGUGGACGGUGCCGAGACAUGGUGGCUGUGGUGAACGGUGCUGCUAAGACAUGGUGGCUGUGGUGGACGGUGCUGCUGAGACAUGGUGGCUGUGGUGAACGGUGCCGAGACAUGGUGGCUGUGGUGGACGGUGCCGAGACAUGGUGGCUGUGGUGGACGGUGCCGAGACAUGGUGGCUGUGGUGGACGGUGCCGAGACAUGGUGGCUGUGGUGGACGGUGCCGAGACAUGGUGGCUGUGGUGAACGGUGCUGUCGAGACAUGGUGGCUGUGGUGGAUGGUGCUGCUGAGACAUGGUGGCUGUGGUGAACGGUGCUGAGACAUGGUGGCUGUGGUGGUUGGUGCCGAGACAUGGUGGCUGUGGUGAACGGUGCUGCCGAGACAUGGUGGCUGUGGUGGACGGUGCUGCUGAGACAUGGUGGCUGUGGUGGAUGGUGCCGAGACAUGGUGGCUGUGGUGGACGGUGCCGAGACAUGGUGGCUGUGGUGAACGGUGCUGAGACAUGGUGGCUGUGGUGAACGGUGCUGCCGAGACAUGGUGGCUGUGGUGGACGGUGCUGAGACACGGUGGCUGUGGUGAACGGUGCUGCCGAGACAUGGUGGCUGUGGUGGACGGUGCUGCUGAGACAUGGUGGCUGUGGUGGAUGGUGCCGAGACAUGGUGGCUGUGGUGAACGGUGCUGCUGAGACAUGGUGGCUGUGGUGAACGGUGCUGCUAAUGUGUCUGGAAUUGGUGGAUUCUUGGUCUCACUGACUUCAAGAUUGAAGCCGCAGACCCUCGCAAUGAGUGUUACAGUUCUUAAAGAUGGUGUGUCCGGAGUUUGUUCCUUCUGAUGUUCGGAUGUGUUUGGAGUUUCUUCCUUCUGGUGGGUUCGUGGUCUCGCUGGCUUCAGGAGUGAAGCUGCAGACCUUCGCAGUGAGUGUUACAGCUCAUAAAGGCAGUGCAGACCCAAAGAGUGAGCAGCAGCAAGAUUUAUUGCAAAGAGCGAAAGAACAAAGCUUCCAUAGUGUGGAAGGGGACCCGAGGAGGUUGCUGCUGCUGGCUCCCGCAGCCUGCUUUUAUUCCCUUAUCUGACCCCACCCACAUCCUGCUGAUUGGCCCAUUUUACAGACAGCUGAUUGGUCCAUUUUAUAGAGAGCUGAUUGGUCUGUUUUGACAGGGUGCUGAUUAGCGCGUUUACGAUCCCUGAGCUAGACACAGAAUGAUAUUUACAAUCCUCUAGCUAGACGUAAAAGUUCUCCAAGUCCCCACUAGAUUAACUAGACACAGAGCAGCGAUUGGUGCAUUUACAAACCUUGAGCUAGACACAAGGUGCUGAUUGGUGCGUUUACAAACCUUGAGCUAGACACAGAGUGCUGAUUGGUGUAUUUACAAUCCUGUAGCUAGACAUAAAGGUUCUCCAAGUCCCCACCGGAUUAGCUAGAUACAGAGAGUGCUGAUUGGCGCAUCCACAAACCCUGAGCUAGACACGGAGUGCUGAUUGGUGCAUUUACAAUCCUCCAGCUAGACAUAAAAGUUC
rnacentral:lncRNA from 1 species